AUUUGUGCAAUUAUAUUCUUUGUUUUCACUUUAAUCCUCAAAAACCAACCUACAAAUCAAAAAUGGGCGCUGAAAAAGUAACCAUGAACAUCGUUGUCGUCGGAGAAGUCCAAUCUGCUAAGGCCGUCAAAUCAGUCGCCAAAGCCACCCCAGCCUCCAGCCAAUUGAUGAACUGUUAAUUCAUGUAGCACAUGCAUUGCAAAAUUUAAAAAUGCCAUAGUCCAAACAAUACUUAAUAAUAUAUGUCAUUUAUAUCAGUAUUGACAAAAUAAAACUUUCCGACAUGCAUAACUA